rnacentral:rRNA from 1 species
UACGAAGGGGGCUAGCGUUGUUCGGAAUUACUGGGCGUAAAGCGCGCGCAGGCGGUUUUUCAAGUCAGUGGUGAAAGCCCGGAGCUCAACUCCGGAAAUGCCAUUGAAACUGCAAAACUUGAGGACGAGAGAGGUGAGUGGAAUUCCCAGUGUAGCGGUGAAAUGCGUAGAUAUUGGGAGGAACACCAGUGGCGAAGGCGGCUCACUGGACUGGUACUGACGCUGAGGCGCGAAAGCGUGGGGAGCAAACGGG